rnacentral:ncRNA from 2 species
AUGAGAACAAGGGGAGAGACUGCCGGCGGCUUCAUUGGAUGUAUGCCGCAAACGCAGCGCCGAAGGAGCAAACAUCUGUGAAUCUCUCAGGCAAAAGAACUCUUGUUUGACG